CGACUUACAAAUGAUGAGUAGAAUCGACGGAUGCUCUUCGCCACCUUCGUAUUUGCCGCUGAAGAACAGGAACCAUUCCCACGGAUCCACUCUGAGCCCAUACCUACGGUAGGACAAAAGAAAAAAGAUAACGCACUUUGAGCCUUCCUAGUGAGAAUGUCGUUCUAAGCUACUUGGAAAUAAAUCUCAUGACGGCAGCGCCGCGAUCUCCGUUCCCAAAGGAUACAGUUGUGGAAUCUCUAGGCUCCGAUGAUUGAUUUAUGGCGCGGGAAUAUCGAUACACAGAAAUUGAGAACGAAGGCUUCAACAGAUUUCUUACGAAUUCAAUUAUCAUGGAACAAGUGGAAUUUAAGGAGGCACGGAAAAUUCAUCGAAUAUAGGCGAAUGUAUCUAUCGG
rnacentral:misc_RNA from 1 species